rnacentral:snRNA from 1 species
UCGCUUGGGCAGCAGCACGUAUGGUAAGAGCGGAACAACACGGAGAAGAUUAGCAUGGCCCUAAGGGAGGAUAACGCUAAUCUGUGAAGACCUCCACAUCUUU